rnacentral:rRNA from 1 species
UACAGAGGGGGCAAGCGUUGUUCGGAAUUACUGGGCGUAAAGGGCGCGUAGGCGGCCUGUUAAGUCGAACGUGAAAUCCCCGGGCUCAACCCGGGAACUGCGUCCGAUACUGGCAGGCUUGAAUCCGGGAGAGGGAUGUGGAAUUCCAGGUGUAGCGGUGAAAUGCGUAGAUAUCUGGAGGAACACCGGUGGCGAAGGCGGCAUCCUGGACCGGUAUUGACGCUGAUGCGCGAAAGCCAGGGGAGCAAACGGGG